GAUGAACGCUGGCGGCGUGCCUAAUACAUGCAAGUCGAGCGAACAGAUGAGGAGCUUGCUCCUCUGACGUUAGCGGCGGACGGGUGAGUAACACGUGGAUAACCUACCUAUAAGACUGGGAUAACUUCGGGAAACCGGAGCUAAUACCGGAUAAUAUAUUGAACCGCAUGGUUCAAUAGUGAAAGACGGUUUUGCUGUCACUUAUAGAUGGAUCCGCGCCGCAUUAGCUAGUUGGUAAGGUAACGGCUUACCAAGGCAACGAUGCGUAGCCGACCUGAGAGGGUGAUCGGCCACACUGGAACUGAGACACGGUCCAGACUCCUACGGGAGGCAGCAGUAGGGAAUCUUCCGAGAUGGGCGAAAGCCUGACGGAGCAACGCCGCGUGAGUGAUGAAGGUCUUCGGAUCGUAAAACUCUGUUAUUAGGGAAGAACAAAUGUGUAAGUAACUAUGCACGUCUUGACGGUACCUAAUCAGAAAGCCACGGCUAACUACGUG
rnacentral:rRNA from 1 species